rnacentral:rRNA from 1 species
AUUGAACGCUGGCGGCAGGCUUAACACAUGCAAGUCGAGCGAGCGGCGGACGGGUGAGUAAUGUCUGGGAAACUGCCUGAUGGAGGGGGAUAACUACUGGAAACGGUAGCUAAUACCGCAUACCAUCAGAUGUGCCCAGAUGGGCUUAGCUAGUAGGUGGGGUAAUGGCUCACCAAGGCGACGAUCCAGAGCUGGUAUGAGAGGAUGACCAGCCACACUGGAACUUGACCACGGGCCAGACUCCUACGGGAGGUAGCAGUGGGGAAUAUUGCACAAUGGGCGCAAGCCUGAUGCAGCCAUGCCGCGUGUGUGAAGAAGGCCUUCGGGUUGUAAAGCACUUUCAGCGAGGAGGCGUUACUCGCAGAAGAAGCACCGGCUAACUCCGUGCCAGCAGCCGCGGUAAUUC